CCUGUCCUUAGAAGCCUUGCAGGCGUGGUUGCUGUGUCACAUAUGUGUCAAUGGGUGGCAGAGAGGAGAGAGACUAUGUCUAUGAUCAGUGUUCUGACCUAUGAACAUCUGAAUGAUUAGUAGCCUAACAUU